rnacentral:sRNA from 1 species
UGAAAGUGUAUCUAGGGUUCCGUUCUUAUAAAGAAGCUGGUCCAAGGGAUGCAGGCAUUGAUUUAAUGCUACACCGAUGGGAAAAAAGCCCGGACGGA